ensembl:lncRNA
CUCAAACAAAGGAAAUGCACAAAUGUAAGUAUUUUCAGCACUUAAAUUACGGCAGACAGGUGUAAUAAAACUAUUUUCGUGCGGUUUUUAAUUGUGAAGUUAGUUUUGAAUCACUAGUCAAGUUUGUUUUGAUUCACUAGUCAAGUUUGUUUUGAAUCACUAGAAGCCGAUGCUAAUGUGUUCCGUUAUCGCUAUUUGUUGAGAUAGAUAUCCGAUAACCCUUGACAUGACAUGUUAAGGUUUCAAGUCAAAUUUGUGUGCAGUGGAUUUGCUUACUACUACUAUUCCUUGGUUGAUUAUACCGGCGCACUGCUUUGAUAUCGGUAAAGCUGCCAGCUAGGCUACGUCGCUCGCCUGUCAAACUGAAGAUUUCCUUUCCACUUUUACCUCAGGGACACCACAGGAGACCAGACGCCUCAUUAAUUUCAGGUCGACCAGGGACAAUGAGUUUCUCAAGUCAAAAAUGAUCGCCCGAAAACAGUGGGAGCUUUUUCUGGAAGAAAUGGGGAUGGAGGGAAAAGUUACAAGGCAACAGGCUUCUAAGAAGUGGGAAAACCUCAAAAAGAAGUACAAGGAUUUGAGGACUUCCAAAACUGGGUCGGGGACGGAAAGUGGGGAGGUGACUGUGGCGACGUGGCAGUAUUACGAUUUGAUGCAUGAGGUUCUUGGUGCCCGGCCAGCAAUCGACCCACCAGUCCUUGUGUCCUCGAUUCAAGAAGACCCCAUGGUUAUCCUCAUGGAGAUGGUGGAGCCCUACAACCAAGCACCCCCGACAGCAGCCAGCACCCCAGUACACCCGCCGACCACAUCAAUCAUGCGAAGGAGGUCCAAAACAGUUGCAGAACUCCUGGCUGAGGAGGCACUUCAGGAGCAGAGGCGCCAUGAAGAGAGUGAGGCCAAGACAGAUCGCUUUCUUGAUCUCUUUGAGAGGAUGGUCAACAAAUUAUAAUUAUUGAUUUUUGUUGUUCCUAUGUUUUUUGUAUGCUAUUUAUUAUUCCUAUUUAUUAUUGUUGUAUAUAUUUCUAUUUAUUAUUUUAUGCUAUUUAUUAUUCCUA